AGGAUAAACGCUGGCGGCGUGCCUAACACAUGCAAGUCGCACGAGAAAGGGUAGCAAUACCUGAGUAAAGUGGCGCACGGGUGAGUAACACGUGAAUGAUCUACCUCCGAGUGGGGAAUAACUGAGAGAAAUCUUAGCUAAUACCGCAUAACACUUACGAGUCAAAGCAGCAAUGCGCUUGGAGAGGAGUUCGCGGCCGAUUAGUUAGUUGGCGGGGUAAUGGCCCACCAAGACGAUGAUCGGUA
rnacentral:rRNA from 1 species